rnacentral:lncRNA from 10 species
CAACUGGAACUGAAACCCAGGACUCCGUCUCUUGCCAGUGAAAGUUAUGUUAGGAAGCAGUGAGGGGUCUAAAGCAGUAUGAAAGGCAAAGAGAAAAGGAAGGAAGACUGUACACAGAGAAUAAAUAACUUGGCCAAGCCAUUCAGCUAGGAAGUUGUAGAUCCUAAAUUAAGAGUUCAAGGUCUUAAUGGCUACUCUAUGCGGCCUCUCAUAGUCUUUUCAAGGGUUUUGGAGAAGAAUAAAAGAUCAGUCAUCCACAGAUGUUUGAGUGGUUACAAUGUGCCAGCCUCCCUUCUAGGUACUGGAGAUAAAGUGGGACAAGAGAGGUGAGGUCUGGACCCUUGGCACUUUCACGAUAAAAUACACAGGCAUUGCUUUUGAACUCAGUCAUCUUUUCCCCCUUGCCCACUAGUUGCUUGUGAUACAUCAGUAUCCUCACUCACCCCCAACUCCAGAGGCUGAAACUAACUCUCCUCCUCCCUCUUCCAACUGCUGAGGAAGAUGAGUCAAUGGUGUUACUGGACCCUGUGAACUGAUGCUGUGAAGAGAGGCCAUUUAACACGGACUACGGGGAAUGGUGCCACAGGGGGCUCAGUGCUGCCCUUCACUCUCAGCAUUUUGCUCACUCAGCAUUGAUGACAGGAUGUCCCAAAAGUAACAAAAGAUGGGAGCCAGUCCUCUCAUAGCUGUUUCUUCAAUCAUCCCAUCAACAGCUCUUCAUUUAUUGAACUACCUUCCUUUUCCAAAGAGGUAAUGCUGAGAUCAGUCAGAAAGGCUUUCUGAGAAA